rfam:Triticum aestivum genome assembly, contig: Triticum_aestivum_CS42_TGACv1_scaffold_289828_4AL
CUAGUACUUCCUUCGUUCCGAAUUACUUGUCUUAGAUUUCUCCAGAUACGGAGGUAUCACACUAAAAUGAGUCUAGAUACAUCCGUAUCUAGACAAAUACAAGACAAGUAAUUCGGAACGGAGGGAGUACAUU